GGCGUGCUUUAUACAUGCAAGUCGAACGCGAAAGUGUCUUCGGACAUUAGUAGAGUGGCAAACGGGUGAGUAACGCGUGGGAAUAUACCUUAAAGUACGGAAUAGCCUCGGGAAACUGGGAUUAAUAACGUAUACGCCCUGAGGGGGAAAGAUGUAUCGCUAUAAGAUUAGCCCGCGUCAGAUUAGCUAGUUGGUGGGGUAAUGGCCUACCAAGGCAACGAUCUGUAGCUGGUCUGAGAGGAUGAUCAGCCACAUUGGGACUGAGAUACGGCCCAAACUCCUACGGGAGGCAGCAGUAGGGAAUAUUGGACAAUGGACGAAAGUCUGAUCCAGCAAUGCCGCGUGAGUGAUGAAGGCCUUAGGGUUGUAAAGCUCUUUUAGUGGGGAAGGUAAUGACGGUACCCACAGAAAAAGCACCGGCUAACUUCGUGCCAGCCGCCGCAGUAA
rnacentral:rRNA from 1 species